AUGUCAAGAGAUAAAUCAACUCAUCACGGCAGAGUAAGCCUAGACCUUGGUGUAUUGUCUUCUUAAGAGGCACAUCCCUAUCACGUGGUCCCACCACUGUCCCAAAUCAGCCUGUGCCUUAGUGGACUCCCUGGUCAUGCCCUGGCUACUGCCCAAGCUUAUGAGGAUGGGUGGCUUGAGCCCUUCGGUAAGCACAUUACUUCUGGUGCGGGCGAGCGUGAAGGGCGCCUGUGCCUGUGGGCGGUGCUGCAGGAGCCUCCUGGGCUCUGGGAAUCCAGGGGAGCAGGAAGCAGCCUGUGCAGGAGGGACUGCCCUGCACUCCCGGGAUGCCGUCAGGUUCAGUGUGGUGAAGGGUGGUGUGAAGCUAUAGCAUGAAGUUGAAGGUUUCCCCCUCCUACACUGCAGACACACUUCCUAUAAGCACCCAGGCAGUCCGGGUGAGGACAGCAUGUGUGCUGCCUCAGCCAGUGUGCGUGGUCACCCGUGCCCGGGCCUUGCACAGUAGGGCUGCCUCUAUGGUCUCUCAGUCUUCAUGGUCACCCGUGUUUCCAGCUGGCUCAGAUAUAGCGUCCGUGUACUGGUGCAGGGCGUGUGCAGCGAGUAGGGCCCAGCCCUGUGUUUUAGUGGUGUUGACAGUUCUAUCCACUUAAUCCCUGAAAAGUGGAAACAAGUCAGUCUGGAAGGCACCCUCGUAAACCGAACACCCACAGUUCAGGUGGCACAGGUGCCAGGGGCAGGCUGAGGAGAGGCCGUUCUAGACUCGCCCACGGUUCUGUGCAUGGACAGGGCAAGGCCACGGGGGCAGCAGCAGCAGCAGCAUUGUGGGAACAUCACUACCUUUUCUUUUGCCUGAAAUUAGAGAACCCUGACUAGUAAGUUGUUUGGUAACUUUGUAUUAGGAAGUAAUUUUAAAUUUAUAGAAAAGUUGCAAGAAAAGAUAUAGAGCAUUCCUGCUUAGCUCCAGCAUUCCUACUUAGCCCGCACACAGGUUCCCAGUUGUUACUGUUCCUUUGUUCACGUCAUUGUUUUUUCUGAACCAUGUGAAAGUAGUUGAAGACAUGAUCAUUCCAUGUGUAUUGCCAGAGCUUAAGAAGUUACAUUCAUGUCACACACCUCUGUGUGCCUGCCUGAGACAGUGAAGAUGAAGGUGUUCAUAGCUCUGGGCCAGAAAACCGGUGGGUCGCCACAGUGUGAAUGACAGACUGGCAGUGCAGGGUGGCGGGCGUGCAUUUGGUGCGCUGUAAGUUUUUUGUGCCAAAAAGGAAGAUGUGCCCUUGAGAUGGGGUGCUGAUAGUAGUUUGUAUGCAAAAAACUAGGGUUCUUUUGAUUUUUUUGUUUUAUUAAUCUUCAUCUGAGGAUUUUUUCUUUUUUAGAAAGUGAAAGGGAGGGGGGGGAGAGAGGAAGAUUUCGAUGUGAGAGACACACUUCGAUUGGUUGCCUCUCACAUGGGAUAGAACUUGCAACCCAGGUUUGUGCCAUUGACUGGGAAUUGAACCCGUGACCCUUAGGUGCCCUAGCUGAUACUCUAAUCCCUGAACAACACAGGCCAGGGUGGGUUAUUUUUCUUUUGUAGUUUGUGUAAAGUGUUAGAGGCUUUGUCUAGGAGUAAUGAGAAGAGAGCAAGGCCCCAAACAG